GCUGGGCAUGCUGGAGUGUGCCUGCAGUCCCAGACACUUGGGAGGCUGAGGCAGGAGGAUCGCUUGAGCCCAGGAGUUCUGGGCUGUAGUGCACUAUGCCAAUCAGGCGUCCAUACUAAGUUUGGCAUCAAUAUGGUGACCUUCUGGAGCAGGAGACCACCAGGUUGCCUAAGGAAAUGUAAAUCAGCCCAGGUUAGAAAUGGAGCAUGUCAGAAACUCCCAUGCUGAUCAGCAGUGGGAUCACUCUGCACUCCAGCCUGGGCAACACAGCAAGACCCUGUCUCU
rnacentral:SRP_RNA from 1 species